UACGUAGGGUCCGAGCGUUGUCCGGAAUUAUUGGGCGUAAAGGGCUCGUAGGCGGUCUGUUGCGUCGGGAGUGAAACUUACAGCUUAACUGUGAGCGUGCUUUCGAUGAGCGGGCAGACUUGAGGCAUUUCAGGGGAGAACGGAAUUCCUGGUGUAGCAGUGAAAUGCGCAGAUAUCAGGAGGAACACCGGUGGGCGAAGGCGGUUCUCUGGGACGGUACUGACGCUGGAGACGGCGAAAGCGUUGGGGAGCGAACAGG
rnacentral:rRNA from 1 species